UUCCGGGGCUGGAGAGAUGGCUCAGAGGUUAAGAGCACUGACAGCUCUUCCAGAGGUCCUGAGUUCAAUUCCCAGCAACCACAUGAUGGCUCACAACCAUCUGUAAAGAGACUUGGUGCCCUCUGCUGU